rnacentral:tRNA from 1 species
GGGUAGAGCUCAGUGGUAGAGCAUGUGCUUUGCUUGCAUCAGGUCCUGGGUUCAAUCCCCAGUACCACCA